rnacentral:tRNA from 1 species
AAGAAAGUAACAUAGUGGGUUUAUGUGGUUGGCUUGAAACUGACUUAGGGGGGUUCGAUUCCUCCCUUUCUUG